rnacentral:rRNA from 1 species
GUGCCAGCAGCCGCGGUAAUACAGGGGGAGCAAGCGUUAUCCGGAAUGAUUGGGCGUAAAGCGUCUGUAGGUGGUUCUUUAAGUCUACUGUCAAAUACGUUGGCUCAACCAACGGCAGGCAGUAGAGUACUAAAGAACUAGAGUGCGGUAGAGGUAGAGGGAAUCCCUAGCGUAACAGUGAAAUGUGUAGAUUUUAGGGAGAACACCAGCGGCGAAGGCGCUCUACUGGGCCGAUACUGACACUGAGAGACGAAAGCUAGAGUAGCGAAAAGGAUUAGAAACCCCUGUAGUCC